rnacentral:rRNA from 1 species
AUACGGAGGGUGCAAGCGUUACUCGGAAUCACUGGGCGUAAAGCGCGCGCAGGCGGCUUGAUAAGUUGGAUGUGAAAGCCUACGGCUCAACCGUAGAACUGCAUCCAAAACUGUCAGGCUAGAGUGUGGGAGAGGAAGAUGGAAUUAGUUGUGUAGGGGUAAAAUCCGUAGAGAUAACUAGGAAUACCAAAAGCGAAGGCAAUCUUCUGGAACACUACUGACGCUGAGGCGCGAAGGCGUGCGGAGCAAACAGGAUUAGAAACCCCAGUAGUCC